GAUCGGACAGCCGCGGAUGGAGGCCGAAAGGCCCCAGAUGAGGAAAGUCCGGGCUCCACAGGGCAGGAAUAACGGGUAACGCCCGCCGAGGGUGACCUCAGGACAAGUGCAACAGAGAGAUUCCGCCGAAGGGUUUUUCCCUUCGGUAAGGGUGAAAAGGUGCGGUAAGAGCGCACCCGGCCCAUGGCAACAUGGGUUUUACGCUGUAAACUCUAUUCCGGAGCAACGCCGUGGAGGAACGCAUGGUCGGCCCGACCGUUCCGAGGAGGCGGCUGGACCCGUCAGGCAACUGACGGGCUAGAUAGAUGGCUGUCAAGACAGAACCCGGCUUAUAGAUCC
rnacentral:RNase_P_RNA from 1 species